rnacentral:rRNA from 1 species
UACGUAGGGUGCAAGCGUUAAUCGGAAUUACUGGGCGUAAAGCGUGCGCAGGCGGUUGUGCAAGACAGAUGUGAAAUCCCCGGGCUCAACCUGGGAACUGCAUUUGUGACUGCACGGCUAGAGUGCGGCAGAGGGAGAUGGAAUUCCGCGUGUAGCAGUGAAAUGCGUAGAUAUGCGGAGGAACACCGAUGGCGAAGGCAAUCUCCUGGGCCUGCACUGACGCUCAUGCACGAAAGCGUGGGGAGCAAACAGGAUUAGAAACCCCGUAGUCC